rnacentral:rRNA from 1 species
AUACGUAGGUGGCAAGCGUUGUCCGGAAUUAUUGGGCGUAAAGCGCAUGUAGGCGGUAAUUUAAGUCUGUCGUGAAACUGCGGGGCUCAGCCCCGUAUGGCGAUGGAAACUGGGUUACUUGAGUGCAGGAGAGGAAAGGGGAACUCCCAGUGUAGCGGUGAAAUGCGUGGAUAUUGGGAAGAACACCGGUGGCGAAGGCGCCUUUCUGGACUGUGUCUGACGCUGGGAUGCGAAAGCCAGGGGAGCGAACGGGAUUAGAUACCCCGGUAGUCCUGGCCGUAAACGAUGGGUACUAGGUGUGGGAGGUAUCGACCCCUUCCGUGCCGGAGUUAACGCAAUAAGUACCCCGCCUGGGGAGUACGGCCGCAAGGCUUAAACUCAAAUGAAUUGACGGGG